CCUACGGGAGGCAGCAGUGGGGAAUUUUGCGCAAUGCUCGUAAGAGUGACGCAGCGACGCCGCGUGAAUGACGAAGGCCUUCGGGUCGUAAAGUUCUUUCGACAGGGAAGAAAAUGCCGAUAAGUAACUGUGUAUGUAUUGACGGUACCUGCAUAAGCAGCCCCGGCUAACUCCGUGCCAGCAGCCGCGGUAAUACGGAGGGGGCGAGCGUUGUUCGGAGUGACUGGGCGUAAAGAGCACGUAGGCGGUGUUGUAAGUCAUUAGUCAAAGACUAGAGCUCAACUUUAGUAAGGCUAGUGAUACUAUAAUACGAGAGUAUCAGAGAGGAUUGCAGAAUUCCUGGUGUAGCGGUGAAAUGCGUAGAUAUCAGGAGGAAUACCGUUAGCGAAGGCGGCAAUCUGGCUGGAAACUGACGCUGAGGUGCGAAAGCGUGGGUAGCAAACAGGAUUAGAUACCCUGGUAGUC
rnacentral:rRNA from 1 species